UACGUAGGGAGCAAGCGUUGUUCGGAUUUACUGGGCGUAAAGGGCGCGUAGGCGGCGCGGUAAGUCACUUGUGAAAUCUCUGAGCUUAACUCAGAACGGCCAAGUGAUACUGCAGUGCUAGAGUGCAGAAGGGGCAACCGGAAUUCUUGGUGUAGCGGUGAAAUGCGUAGAUAUCAAGAGGAACACCUGAGGUGAAGACGGGUUGCUGGGCUGACACUGACGCUGAGGCGCGAAAGCUAGGGUAGCAAACGGG
rnacentral:rRNA from 1 species